rnacentral:sRNA from 1 species
UGGUGUCCCGGAAUACCCCGCUGGACCA